rnacentral:rRNA from 1 species
AGGAUGAACGCUGGCGGAGUGCCUAACACAUGCAAGUCGAGCGGCAGCGCGAAGAAUUUAUUCUUUGGCGGCGAGCGGCGGACGGCUGAGUAACGCGUGGGAACAUACCCCAAAGUGAGGGAUAAGCAUCGGAAACGGUGUCUAAUACCGCAUAUGAUCUUCGGAAUUAAAGGAUUUAUCCGCUUUGGGAAUGGCCUGCGUACGAUUAGAUAGUUGGUGAGGUAAAGCUCACCAAGUCUACGAUCGUUAACUGGUUUGAGAGGAUGAUCAGUCAGACUGGAACUGAGACACGGUCCAGACUCCGUACGGGAGCAGCAGUGAGGAAUCUACCACAAUGGACGAAAGUCUGAUGGAGCAACUCCGCGUGCGAGGAUGGAACGGUCCGUUUACGGGUACCGUUAAACGUU